AUCAAAGUGGUUAUAUCAGAUGAGUAGGAGGGCGUGGCGGUCGUAUGGAAGCGUCGGUGCGAACCGGCGUGAAACGGCCGCUAGUGCAGAUCUUGGUGGUAGUAGCAAAUAUUCAAGUGAGAUCCUUGAAGGACGAAGCGGGGAAGGGUUCCACGCGAACAUUGAUUGAGCGUGGGUGAGUCGUUCCUAAGCCGAGUGGUCAUAGCUAAUUACCGGCGAAAGGGAAGCAGGUUGACAUUCCUGCACACGGAUGUGGAGGCGGUGACGCCGUAUUGAGGUGAUGACGUUGGCAGUGGCUCUGGGCAGAGUUUUCUUUUCUGUUUGACCGUCAAUGUGCGCUGUGUGGAAUCCGCUUGUCGGGAGAAACACGCGUGCACGGGCAGAGCGCCGGGGCUUUUCCGGCGUCCAGAUCGCCACUGACGACCCUUGAAAAAUCACCCGCUGAAUUUUUAAAAUUUCUUUUAAAAUACAAUCCACGCCGUGGCGUACCGAUCACCGCAUCAGGUCCCCAAGGUGAACAGCCUCUGUUCAAUAUGAAAAAUGCAGGUAAGGGAAGUCGGCAAAUUAGACCCGUAACUUUGGGAAAAGGGUUGGCUCUAGUGCUGCGUGGGAGUGGUUGUCGUAUUCUGGGUGCACCAGCUAGGCACUUUUCUGCGGACUCGAGUAUCAUUGUUUUUUUCCUCUACUUGUAUGAAAGAAAUGAUGGUUUCUUUUCUGUGGCAUUGAGCUCGGCAGGAGUAUCUGGGUGCGAUGACGCCCACAGCAUGCAGCAGACUAGAACUGCAACGGGCAAAGGGAA
rnacentral:rRNA from 1 species